AACGAACGCUGGCGGCAUGCCUAACACAUGCAAGUCGAACGAGACCUUCGGGUCUAGUGGCGCACGGGUGCGUAACGCGUGGGAACCUGCCCUUAGGUUCGGAAUACCUCCCCGUAAGGGGUGCUAAUACCGGAUAAUGUCUUCGGACCAAAGAUUUAUCGCCUUUGGAUGGGCCCGCGUUGGAUUAGCUAGUUGGUAGGGUAAAAGCCUACCAAGGCGACGAUCCUUAGCUGGUCUGAGAGGAUGAUCAGCCACACUGGGACUGAGACACGGCCCAGAAUCUUACGGGAGGGAGCAGUGGGGGAUAUAGGACAAUGGGCGAAAGCCUGAUCCAGCAAUGCCGCGUGAGUGAUGAAGGCCGUAGGGUAGUAAAGCUCUUUUACACGGGAUGAUAAUGACAGUACCGGGAGAAUAAGCACCGGCUAACUCCGUG
rnacentral:rRNA from 1 species